rnacentral:rRNA from 1 species
AUUGAACGCUGGCGGCAUGCCUUACACAUGCAAGUCGAACGGCAGCACGGGAGCAAUCCUGGUGGCGAGUGGCGAACGGGUGAGUAAUAUAUCGGAACGUGCCCAGUCGUGGGGGAUAACGUAGCGAAAGCUACGCUAAUACCGCAUACGAUCUAUGGAUGAAAGCGGGGGAUCGCAAGACCUCGCGCGAUUGGAGCGGCCGAUAUCAGAUUAGGUAGUUGGUGAGGUAAAGGCUCACCAAGCCGACGAUCUGUAGCUGGUCUGAGAGGACGACCAGCCACACUGGGACUGAGACACGGCCCAGACUCCUACGGGAGGGCAGCAGUGGGGAAUUUUGGACAAUGGGCGGCAAGCCUGAUCCAGCAAUGCCGCGUGCAGGAUGAA